rnacentral:sRNA from 10 species
UGAUGCCAGGGUCAAAAGGUCUAAGCCCACAUGAGCUUGCUCAUAGGUGGGUGAAAGACCUUAGGACCCGCCCCGAUAUGAGCAUAAAAGUGGGAUGAUAAUCCCACGAUAUGCGAAUAUUGGGUAGGGUGCUAUGUGCCAGUGGCACA